GUGCAGUAAGAAGGUGGUACAGGACAGGGCUGGGGGUCCCUGGGGGUGACAGCCAGGCCCAGGUGCUGGGCAGGUACAGAGGGCAGGGCUGUUGCUGAACUCGAGCGAUCUGAAGUGCCAGACACAGGGCCAGGGGUCCAAAACACAAAACAAACGCAAAGGCACCCCCAGAGGAAAAGCCCAGAGUCUAAAUUUUAAACAGGAAGAAGCAGGCGUCGGGCUCCGAGGAAGAUAACAGGCCCAGGAGGGAACACAGCAACAGCGGAGUGCAGAGCAGGCCUGGGGAGGGCAGGGCGUCCAUGCUGAGCCGCCUGCCUGGCUCCAGGUGCCAGGCCUGGGCUCUGCCCACCACACAGAGGGCCCCAGCCGGCCAGUAUCAGGGGCACACAGGUCCUUCAACAGGCCACGGCAUCCAGUGAAUCAAAAACAAAAAUAACCCUUACGGAGCCAGCCGUGGUGGUGCACACUUGUGAUCCUGGCAUUCAGGAGGCUGAGGCAGGAGGAAUGUUUGUUGAAGAUGGAACUAAGGGCCUCUUGCCUGUUGGGGAGCACCCCAGCCACGACCUUCGGACCAAAACCUUGACAAUGACCAGAGAUUGCUUCACAGUGAGAAAAUACUUUCAAAAUUAUAAACUUAGUACCAAUCACGCUUUGAGAAGAAGCAAGAUAUAUCAUGUACAGGUGUAAAUCCCCUAUAAUGAAUGUUAUCAUUAUGUAUAUCUAAAAUGUAUCAAUAAAUGUUUUGCUUUAAAAGAAAAAAAAGAAA
rnacentral:lncRNA from 1 species